rnacentral:tRNA from 1 species
CGCCGUUCUCGUCGUAGGUCGUCAUGACCUGCGGCUUGAACUCGCGGAUCAGCUUCACCAGGGGCGCCGCUGCCCGUUCGACCGGCUGCAGCGC